rnacentral:rRNA from 1 species
AGCUCCAAUAGCGUAUAUUAAAGUUGUUGCGGUUAAAAAGCUCGUAGUUGGAUUCCUGUAUGGAAGGGGCGUCCCCACCCUUUGGAUGGGGGUUGCUACCUUCUUUGCAUCUUCUUGAGUAGGUGUUCCUUACUUAACUGUGAGGACAUCGUGCUCGGGACGUUUACUUUGAGGAAAAGAGAGUGCUCCAAGCAGGCAAACGCCUGAAUACGUUAGCAUGGAAUAAUAGCAUCGGAUCAUCGUACAGCUGUUGGUGUCUGGACGAGGAUAAAGGUGAACAGGGAUUGUUGGGGGCAUUCGUAUUCCGCCGAGAGAGGUGAAAUUCUCAGACCAGCGGAAGACGCACCACUGCGAAAGCAUUUGCCAGGGAUGUUUUCA